AGAAUGAAAUGUCUCUCGUCAUUUUAAACCCAAAUAAAUUGCUGGCUGGCCACACUUGCAUGUGAAAAGGGCGGCAAACAGAUGUGCACUUGUACAACUUUGAAAAGCAGAAGUGGAGCCUCCUCCACAACUGACAAGAAUGUAGCAAGUGGUUUCUGACUGGUAAGUUAAGAACAAAACACUUCUCUUUUCCAUCUGCCAUUUUACAGCACAAGAAUUGGGAA